AGUACUGCCAGACCUUUCUUCUUUCUUCGUUCUGUGAGAACCGGGUCAGGUAGAAUCCUCGGUCCAGCUGUGCUGGUGGAAGCAGCCCACUCAAUCGAACGUUAUAUUUAUAGCUAUCAGCCAUAAAGCCGUUAGCGCAUCUAUAUACCAGUGCUUACCAUUGUACAUUGUAUAUAUAUAUACAGCCAUCAACCCCCUUACUCAACCAAACCAUUGGGUAGCAGUUCCUGGUUCCCACACAAAUUUGUCUUGCCGGAAAAAUUUUCUAUGUGACACAACAACAAAUCGAGAAAAAGACGUCUUGGGGUGGGCAAUUUGUGACCAACCAAACUCAUACGAGUACACAGAAGUGUGCAAAUUGCUUGUUAAGCAGUAUCCUGUCCCCGCAGACCCCAAUGGAAAUGGAAUAGGAACAUGGAAAACACAGCUGAGACAGUCGUUAAGCGGAGGGUACCGAAACAUGGUGACCAGGAUCCCACAGCUACACAGCCCACACAGCCCCCUACGAAGAAAAGAAAGACAAAUGAUACUCAUCGUGAUGGUGAUGGUGAUGAGGAAUUGAGGGACAUUGAGUAUGAAGAAUAUGUGAAGCUUCUGGACAUUGUACUCAAAAAAGACAAGCCUACCAAAAAGGAAUCCUCGUAUACAGGCAGAAGACGGUAAACAAGUCCUGCACUUACAGAAAUCUUGGCCCAGUUUCCCCAAUUGAAACGAAUGAUACACAUAAAACGAGAGUUCACUUGGAUUAUUUAAAGUGAGCUUCCCGAGACAGAUCCCGAGGGUAUUUACGAUCGGUGUGCAAAAACCUUUUUAGUGAGAUGGCUGGGGGAGUGCAAGAGCUUACGAGAGCAUAAAUUCCGGGACACUGUCAACUCUGUUAGACAAGCAGAAAUCAGCAGUUUUGAAGGUAGUAGGGAAUCACUGGAAGCAGCCCAUACACUGGAGCAACUCUCGUAUCUUCUGGCCAACCGGAAAACGUCGAAAGUAUGUUUCAUUAAACGUAUCUCGAUUGACUCUAAUGCCAAAGCUGCUAUUUCAACUGAUCCCAGCGAAUACCCCUACUUGGCAAUGUGUAUGUUGUGGUUGAGAGGACAAUGGUUGCACAUGGCAUCAUCGAAUCCCAACAAUAAUUAUAUGCAAACACACAAGACCAUCCCCAAGACCGAUAAUAUUUAAUAAAGCCAGCAAGGCAAAGACCACUCGUACAGUACCAACAACUUUUCUUUACAUUCUUAGACAAACACAACACUGUCAACCCAACACGCAACACGCAACACGCAUCAUCACACAAACGGAAAAACAUCCCACUGACAACCAAUUCUUCCACAACUGCUGUUUACCAGAAUGUAGAAAGAAACUGAAACUGACACUACACAAGCACGGGCAAAACGAAAAACACAAGAAUCACAACCACCCUCAAACCAAACAGAACCACCAUUUUUUCCCCUUCAGCCAAUUACCACUGCCACCUUAACAGUUCACAAUCACUCCGGAAGAACACAAUUUACUCUCUCCUUCGCCCCGACACCACCGUACAAUUACUACGAAACUUCAACGACUUUAUAUACACCCACGCAACUAACAAGUCCGACAAAAGACCUUCUGAUGAUAUACCACAACCAGAACACACCGACAGCUACAGACGAAUGAACUACGUAAGUCAACACUAGAAGCAUACAUCGACCACUC